rnacentral:rRNA from 1 species
GCGACAUUCAUGCACCUCGUCGGGUGUAAUUAUUCGGUGUGUACGAGACCUACGAGGAGGAAGCAAACUUGCAGAAGCAAACCUGCCCGGCAAGAAGGGACCCCUCAAGCUGGACGAAUGGGUGUUGUGCCGGCUGUACAACAAGAAGAACAGCUGGGAGAAGGUCAAGGUGGAGCAGGACAUGGCUGUGGAGGCAUGGCUUGGACGCUCGUCAACCUCGGCCACUUCUUGAUUACAUACCACUUCUUCCACUGGAAGAAGGGAACUCCAUUCGCUGGUGAUCAGGGGAUGUAUAAUAGA